GACGAACGCUGGCGGCGUGCUUAACACAUGCAAGUCGAACGGUAAGGCCCCAGCUUGCUGGGGUACACGAGUGGCGAACGGGUGAGUAACACGUGGGUGACCUGCCCCGCACUUCGGGAUAAGCCUGGGAAACUGGGUCUAAUACCGGAUAGGACCGCACCGUGAGGGUGUGGUGGAAAGUUUUUCGGUGUGGGAUGGGCCCGCGGCCUAUCAGCUUGUUGGUGGGGUAAUGGCCUACCAAGGCGGCGACGGGUAGCCGGCCUGAGAGGGUGGACGGCCACAUUGGGACUGAGACACGGCCCAGACUCCUACGGGAGGCAGCAGUGGGGAAUAUUGCACAAUGGGCGGAAGCCUGAUGCAGCGACGCCGCGUGGGGGAUGACGGCCUUCGGGUUGUAAACUCCUUUCAGCAGGGACGAAGCGCAAGUGACGGUACCUGCAGAAGAAGCACCGGCCAACUACGUGCCAGCCGCCGCAGUAA
rnacentral:rRNA from 1 species